rnacentral:tRNA from 1 species
GGGGGAGUGUCGGAAUUGGCAGACGAGCGUGACUUAGGAUCACGUGCCCGCGAGGGCGUAGGGGUUCGAGUCCCCUCUUCCCCACCA